UACGGAAGGUCCGGGCGUUAUCCGGAUUUAUAUGGGUUUAAAGGGAGCGUAGGCUGCCCGGCAAGCGUGCUGUGAAAUACAGUGGCCCAACCACUGGACUGCAGCGCGAACUGUCGGGCUUGAGGGCGCACGACGCAGGCGGAAUUUGUGGUGUAGCGGUGAAAUGCUUAGAUAUCACGAAGAACCCCGAUUGCGAAGGCAGCUUGCGGGAGCGCGACUGACGCUGAAGCUCGAAAGUGCGGGUAUCAAACAGGAUUAGAUACCCUGGUAGUCCGCACGGUAAACGAUGGAUGCCCGUUCUGCGGCCUUCGGGCCGCGGGACCAAGCGAAAGCAUUAAGCAUCCCACCUGGGGAGUACGCCGGCAACGGUGAAACUCAAGGGAAUUGACGGGGGCCCGCACAAGCGGAGGAACAUGUGGUUUAAUUCGAUGAUACGCGAGGAACCUUACCCGGGCUUGAAUUGCAGACUAAUGCGGCGGAGACGCCGCAGUCCUUCGGGAAGUCUGUGAAGGUGCUGCAUGGUUGUCGUCAGCUCGUGCCGUGAGGUGUCGGCUCAAGUGCCAUAACGAGCGCAACCCCUGUCUCCUGUUGCCAUCAGGUAAAGCUGGGCACACUGGAGAGACUGCCGCCGUAAGGUGCGAGGAAGGUGGGGAUGACGUCAAAUCAGCACGGCCCUUACGUCCGGGGCUACACACGUGUUACAAUGGCCGGUACAGAAGGAUGGUGCCCCGCAAGGUGCAUCGAACCUGAAAAACCGGUCCCAGUUCGGACUGGGGUCUGCAACCCGACCCCACGAAGCUGGAUUCGCUAGUAAUCGCGCAUCAGCCAUGACGCGGUGAAUACGUUCCCGGGCCU
rnacentral:rRNA from 1 species